rnacentral:rRNA from 1 species
CAGUAGCCGCGGGAAUACGUAGGGUGCAAGCGUUAAUCGGAAUUACUGGGCGUAAAGCGUGCGUAGGCGGCUUCUUAAGUCGGAUGUGAAAUCCCUGAGCUUAACUUAGGAAUUGCAUUCGAUACUGGGAAGCUAGAGUAUGGGAGAGGAUGGUAGAAUUCCAGGUGUAGCGGUGAAAUGCGUAGAGAUCUGGAGGAAUACCGAUGGCGAAGGCAGCCAUCUGGCCUAAUACUGACGCUGAGGUACGAAAGCAUGGGGAGCAAACAGGAUUAGAUACCCCGGUAGUCCCUGUCUCUUAUAC